UUUACGGCUAACUUUUGUCAU
ensembl:piRNA 21ur-5738 ncRNA